UACGGAGGGGGCUAGCGUUGUUCGGAAUUACUGGGCGUAAAGCGCGUGUAGGCAGCUUGGCAAGUCGGGUGUGAAAGCCCUGGGCUCAACCUAGGAAGUGCACUCGAAACUGCUUCGCUUGAGUAUCGGAGAGGAAAGCGGAAUUCUCGGUGUAGAGGUGAAAUUCGUAGAUAUCGAGAGGAACACCAGUGGCGAAGGCGGCUUUCUGGACGAUUACUGACGCUGAGACGCGAAAGCGUGGGGAGCAAACAGG
rnacentral:rRNA from 1 species